rnacentral:misc_RNA from 1 species
UUGUGCAAAUAUUUUUUUUGAGCAUAGAUUUUUUACCAUUAUUUUAGCUGUUGUAAUAAUGGUUAACUGCUAUUUUAAAACCUGUUAUCAAAGAAUACCCAUAAUCAAUUGAUGUUUAAUUUUUUUGAGUGACAUUAUACAUAUUUUCCUUCACAUACAUUCCUCCUGUGGGAAAUUCUUAGAUGAAUCUUAUUAUUUAUUUUAAAAUUACAUUAUUUUUUUGUAUAGUAAAUAAGCGCGGCUCUGCAAUUAACAUUUAAUUUCUCAUCUUCCGUUUGUCACUUGGUCUUUCCUUUUCAACCCACGUCAAGGCACCUAGCAGUCCAUACUCCAUAGCCUCGAAUCAAAGCCACCUUUUCAUAUCCCAUAAAUUUUUCUUUAUUUUCAGUUUAAGAAACGGGUCAUUUAUCUUUUCGUUCAUUAAGCAGAUAUUAAUAAUUAUUAAUGUGUAUUUAUAAUUUUGGGCGACCAAAUCACCAGCCCUUACACCUGUUAAUUUUAUUUUUUUUUCUCUCCUGUCAUAAAUCUAAAUAAUCUCCAUAGUCACAGAAGAGUUUCCCAAUGAUCCAAGUAGCUCAGGCUCUGCAUCAUUUUCUACCUACAGAAACAGAAAACAAAUAAUAUAAUAAAUAUUAAAAAUAAAUUAUUUAAAAUGAAAAACGAAGACUCACCUUGACGGAACGGAACCAAGCACGGAAUACGUAGCAGAGAUACACAACGCAUAAAUCACGUACGCAUAUACAAAUGGAGUGAACGCAAAUCGUCAAAUCAGACUGCCAACGGAGAAAAGCGCACUGGAAACAGAGAAGAAUUGUGGAAAGAAUAAAGAACUGGAAUGGUCCCUGAACGAUGAUGGAAUUAUGAUUCAUGUUUAAUUAAAUUCACUGUUCGAUUUAAAUUUUAAUUAGCUUAGAUCUGUUUCAGGUGAUGAGAUAUUUAAGUCGUGUAAGGUCCUGAAAUUGGCCAUUCAUGGCCGCAGCUCUUUUCAUAUACCGUCGUAGGUAUGUACACUUACAACAAAAAUUAUAUAUCAAAGCCCCUGCUAUCGGAUCCAAUAAAAUAAGUCCGUCGCAAUUCUCAUGCGCUGCCACUCGCCGGAUCUGAGCCUCUCCGUCGCCGGAAAAUUAUGACAAUUAAUCGAAUAAUAAGUUUGUUGACUAACAUACCCCGAUUAACGCAAAUCUUCGGCUUUGCACAUGACAGAGAGCCGGCUCGGACGUGGUUGGAAAGCUGCGCGCCGCCGUUGUUGGUGAGAAGACGGCCGAAUCAAAGCCGAUAAAGCUCUCUUGACCAAAUCACCCUCCACUCCACAGAUUCGCACCAAGGAGUUCGUCAUCGCCGAUCUGCGCGCAUUUAAGCGAGUAUUUGGCGAGUAACUGACGGAUGAGUGUGAAUUGUUGAAGCUCUUGUGGAGGCUGCAGCGAAAGGAACCAGGGUGCGUCGUAGGAGAGCACAUACAAGUCCUCUUCGGAGUGCUCGGCUUCCUGACUACUUGGUGGCCGCGAGAAGGAUUGAUAGUGGAGAUGGAGCGAUUAGGGGAGAUCGGACGGUCGAGGGAGAAACGGACAGAAGGAGCAGACCGCGUAUUUCCGUACAAGUUAACACGAGUGGGAGAUGCAGAUCUGUGGCAUUGGUGGUGGCCGGAAAAUAAAGUAGAAGAGCGAGAAGCAAAGCUGGAGCUGGAAGAAGCGAAAGCAGUUGAAGAAGAUGGCGAGUGAGGAAGGUGGAAUCUGCCGGACGGAGAGAGUGAUCGGAUGACUGGUCCGCUUGAGGAUCUUCUAGAAGAUCCGGUUGCUGUUGCCGCCAUUUUUUUGCCACUGGUUUUGAGGUCGCAGGAAAGUGGGGGAGCACACAGAUUCUAGAGAAAGAAAAUGAGAGACUAACCUUUGAAAAUGAGCUUUUGGC